AGAUUUGUGCAGUGGCAGUAUUGUAGCCAAUGAGUUUUAUCUGAUAUGUUAUUAUUGCUAAUUGAAAACUUUUCUCAAAUGUUCCCC
ensembl:snRNA U4 U4 spliceosomal RNA